CCUACGGGUGGCAGCAGUCGAGAAUCAUUCACAAUGGGGGAAACCCUGAUGGUGCGACGCCGCGUGGGGGAAUGAAGGUCUUCGGAUUGUAAACCCCUGUCGUGUGGGAGCAAAUUAAAAAGAUCGUACUCCACUAGGAAGAGACUGCUAACACUGUGCCACCAGCCGCGUUAAUACAGAGGUCCCAAGCGUUGUUCGGAAUCACUGGGCGGGAAGCGUGCGUAGGCGGAGUGGUAAGUCGUGUGUGAAAGGGGCGGGCUCAACCCGGGGACUGCACAUGAUACAGUGGGGCUAGAGUGAAGGAGGGGUAAGCGGAAUGCACGGUGUAGCAGUGAAAUGCGUAGAGAUCGAGAGGAACACCCGUGGCGAAGGCGGGUUACUGGACAGUAACUGACGCUGAGGCACGAAGGCCUGGGGAGCGAAAGGGAUUAGAUACCCGUGUAGUC
rnacentral:rRNA from 1 species